UAAUAGACUGUGAAGAGAAGAGUAAAUAUAAAAGGUAGUCAUAGCGAGUUGAGGAUGGUGAAAGCUCAAUACGAAGUUUAUAUUGAAGAACAUCUCGGAGUUUCUAACCGAAAUCUUGAAAGAGAGUAGACUUAGACGGGAAGUCCCGUUACAGACUAUAAGCAAUGCUUACUAAGAGGCCAGUUUUGGCAAUUAGGGUGGUACCGCGAGAGCAACAGCCUUUCGUCCCUUUU
rnacentral:ncRNA from 1 species